CCUACGGGUGGCAGCAGUGAGGAAUAUUGGUCAAUGGACGAGAGUCUGAACCAGCCAAGUAGCGUGAAGGAUGACUGCCCUAUGGGUUGUAAACUUCUUUUAUAAAGGAAUAAAACGAGGCACGUGUGCCUUUUUGCAUGUACUUGAUGAAUAAGGAUCGGCUAACUCCGUGCCAGCAGCCGCGGUAAUACGGAGGAUCCGAGCGUUAGCCGGAUUUAUUGGGUUUAAAGGGAGCGUAGAUGGGUUGUUAAGUCAGUUGUGAAAGUUUGCGGCUCAACCGUAAAAUUGCAAUUGAUACUGGCAGUCUUGAGUACAGUUGAGGGAGGCGGAAUUCGUGGUGUAGCGGUGAAAUGCUUAGAUAUCACGAAGAACCCCGAUUGCGAAGGCAGCUUACUAAACUGUGACUGACAUUGAUGCUCGAAAGUGUGGGUAGCAAACAGGAUUAGAUACCCCUGUAGUC
rnacentral:rRNA from 1 species